CCUACGGGCGGCAGCAGUAGGGAAUAUUGCUCAAUGGGGGAAACCCUGAAGCAGCAACGCCGCGUGGAGGAUGAAGGUUUUCGGAUUUUAAACUCCUUUUGUUAGAGAAGAUAAUGACGGUAUCUAACGAAUAAGCACCGUCUAACUCCGUGCCAGCAGCCGCGGUAAUACGGAGGGUGCAAGCGUUACUCGGAAUCACUGGGCGUAAAGAGCGCGUAGGCGGAAUAGCAAGUCAGAUGUGAAAUUCUAUGGCUUAACCAUAGAACUGCAUUUGAUACUGUUAUUCUAGAGUAUGGCAGAGGUAGGUGGAGUUCGUGGUGUAGGGGUAAAAUCCUUAGAGAUCAAGACGAAUACUGAUUGCGAAGGCGACUUGCUAGAACAUAACUGACGCUGAUGCUCGAAAGUGUGGGUAUCAAACAGGAUUAGAUACCCCAGUAGUC
rnacentral:rRNA from 1 species